UGGGGAAUAUUGCACAAUGGGCGAAAGCCUGAUGCAGCAACGCCGCGUGAGUGAUGAAGGCCUUCGGGUUGUAAAGCUCUGUCUUUUGGGACGAUAAUGACGGUACCAAAGGAGGAAGCCACGGCUAACUACGUGCCAGCAGCCGCGGUAAUACGUAGGUGGCAAGCGUUGUCCGGAUUUACUGGGCGUAAAGGAUGCGUAGGCGGAUUUUUAAGUGAGAUGUGAAAACCCUAAGCUUAACUUGGGGACUGCAUUUCAUACUGGAAAUCUAGAGUGCGGGAGAGGAGAAUGGAAUUCCUAGUGUAGCGGUGAAAUGCGUAGAGAUUAGGAAGAACACCAGUGGCGAAGGCGAUUCUCUGGACCGUAACUGACGCUGAGGCAUGAAAGCGUGGGUAGCAAACAGGAUUAGAUACCCUGGUAGUCCACGCCGUAAACGAUGAGUACUAGGUGUAGGAGGUAUCGACCCCUUCUGUGCCGCAGUUAACACAAUAAGUACUCCGCCUGGGAAGUACGAUCGCAAGGAUUAAAACUCAAAGGAAUUGACGGGGGUCAUAGCUGUUUUUCCU
rnacentral:rRNA from 1 species